AGAGUUUGAUCAUGGCUCAGAUUGAACGCUGGCGGCAUGCUUUACACAUGCAAGUCGAACGGUAACAGGGAGCUUGCUCCGCUGACGAGUGGCGAACGGGUGAGUAAUGCAUCGGAACGUACCCAGUCGUGGGGGAUAACGUAGCGAAAGUUACGCUAAUACCGCAUACGUCCUGAGGGAGAAAGCGGGGGACCGUAAGGCCUCGCGCGAUUGGAGCGGCCGAUGUCGGAUUAGCUAGUUGGUAGGGUAAAGGCCUACCAAGGCGACGAUCCGUAGCGGGUCUGAGAGGAUGGUCCGCCACACUGGGACUGAGACACGGCCCAGACUCCUACGGGAGGCAGCAGUGGGGAAUUUUGGACAAUGGGCGCAAGCCUGAUCCAGCAAUGCCGCGUGCAGGAUGAAGGCCUUCGGGUUGUAAACUGCUUUUGUACGGAACGAAAAGGCUCUGGUUAAUACCUGGGGCUGACGACGGUACCGUAAGAAUAAGCACCGGCUAACUACGUGCCAGCAGCCGCGGUAAUACGUAGGGUGCAAGCGUUAAUCGGAAUUACUGGGCGUGAAGCGUGCGCAGGCGGUUAUGUAAGACAGAGGUGAAAUCCCCGGGCUCAACCUGGGAACUGCCUUUGUGACUGCAUAGCUAGAGUACGGCAGAGGGGGAUGGAAUUCCGCGUGUAGCAGUGAAAUGCGUAGAUAUGCGGAGGAACACCGAUGGCGAAGGCAAUCCCCUGGGCCUGUACUGACGCUCAUGCACGAAAGCGUGGGGAGCAAACAGGAUUAGAUACCCCGGUAGU
rnacentral:rRNA from 1 species